ensembl:lncRNA
UGGUGGACAGAGGGGUAUGGGUAACGCAAUUGAUUGUAUAUAUAUACCGUGUGUGUAUGUCUCUCAAGGGAGCGGGAAGGGGCAGAUUCUACUGAAAAUUAGGACAUGCUUUUGGCUUCUCAUUUUUCUUCAAUUGAACAAAUAAAUGAUAGUGGACCCCCUUGGGAAUGAUGCUUCUUCCUUAUGUGCUUCCUUGUAGAACAACAUUCUUGCCACUUUCAUUUCAGCAGGUAAAGUAAACUGGGAUGAGCAAAGACAAGUUAUUAGGGAACUGGCGUAUGUGUAAUUUGAAGCAGAGGUAGAUUUGAGGUUUGUGGGCAGAAUGAGGCUGAGGAUUAGGACCAGGUUUUGGCCCUUACAGAUGAAGAAUGAGGAAAGAACUAUCUGUGCUCUUAAUUCCUAGAAGUAAACAUGUGCUGAAAUAUUCAGACUCAGACUCUGAGCUAGAAGGGAACCAACAGGGGUUGGUUCCCUUCUCUCUCCAAGUAAGGAGGUGUCGGUGAGUCUGGCCCUGUGUGUCUGAUGUUGCAUACCCAUCCUGCCACACUGAUCAUCUCCAAAACUGCUCUUGUUUCUCCUGGUCCCUAGGUUCUUACAGAAAUGCAUCUGAUACUUUGACCUUAAUUAGCCAUCGCUGUUGUUCUUUUUUUUUUUAUUUUCCCACUGUACAGCAAGGGGAUCAAGUUAUCCUUACAUGUAUACAUUACAAUUACAUUUUUUUCCCCACCCUUUGUUCUGUUGCAACAUGAGUAUCUAGACAAAGUUCUCAAUGCUUCCCAAAUCAGAGGAAGGAGCCAGAUUGAGGGGCUGAAUCUUUGGAAGGUUCUAAGUCCUAUCGUUACAUCUUCCAAGUGCAUAACAUUAUGCAAAUCCAACUACACAUUUUCUUCUCUGAUAAAUGAGUUCGUAAUAAUACUGUGUAUGUGUGUUUGCAUGUGGGUGUGAGUUAGCGCAUUGAAUAAUCUGUCACGGUUUAAAAAAAAAUUAGUUUGGUAUCAACUAUAUACCAAAGGAGAAAGUAAAGAAUAUUUUACCUAUAAGUUCUAUAUAUAACAAUACUUUUAGCCCACCUAUAUCUUCAUCCAGAGCAAGAUCCUUGUGUAUUAAUUAAUUCGGCAUUAAUUCUGUAGCAGUUUACAAACUUACAAGAGCAUAGGCAUGGAACAGCAUUCUUACACACAGGAAAAUUCUGCCCUGCCAUAGCCCAAUUUGCUUAGCUGAAUUAGAGGGGGUUUAGGGAAAGUAAUUGGGGCUUUUUAAUCAAGGCUAAAGUUUAAGUGCCCUAAAAGAUUUAUGGUCUUGUUUAGAAAAAAAAGAACUAAUGAAACUAUUUUCCUACUCUGCCUCAUUUCUUCUUGCUUCAGUGAACAUUUACUGGACAUGUAUGGGCUUGGUCUUCAGGCUGAAUACUCACAUUGCAUGCUGACAGAUGGAAAAUUAGACAUACUUCUACCCAGGACCUUAUCCUCAAACACUAUAUGGGAGUUGUGAUUCUCCACUGCAUUGCUAUCUACUCCUGAAUUUUAUUGCCUUUGAGAGCAUUUUUUCUCUUCAGUCUUUGAUGGACUCAUGUUCAUGCUUAUGUGUGUAUGUGCAUGUGAAAACAAGCUAUAGGCAUAUAUAAGGGAAAUUUCAGAAGGCAUUCAUUCGAGCACCCCUUCCCAAAAUAGUUUCAUUUAAUAGUAUUAAAACAUCCUGACAAAAAAUAAUGUCUUGCUAACUUCCCUUCCUCCCUUCUCUCUCCUCCCUCCCUCCUUUUCUUCCAUUCUCCUUCCUUUCUUCCUUCUGCCCUUCCUCCUUCCCUCCCUCCCUCUCUUCCUUCCAUUCUUUUUUCAAAAGGGUUAGUAACCAUUUUAAAGAAUUGCAUCAAUUUAAUAUAAAACCUCAUACCGUAAAAUCUCACCAACUCUGAUUUAUGUGUAAUAGUUGGUCCAAGUUGUUUUAGGAAUGAAUAUGAAAUACUUGGAGAUUCGUAAGCAGCAUGAAUCUAAAUAGUUUGCAAUGAGCCUUUCUUGAACUCUGACAUAGAGGUGUUCAGUCAUUCUGCCUUGAUUACAAAAUAAUUCUGCAGUGAUAUCAUUGGUAUUUUUACAUAACCUAGGAUGAAAUUAUUUUCCUUCUUUAGCUAUUAAAUUUAAUUGAUAUAUUCAUAAUAUUUAAAUGCUUUAUCAACCUCUUCAACCUCUCAUUUGUAACAAUUCUAAACCGUUUUAAAAUGUAAUGCCAUGAAAUCAGAACUAAUAGUGACUCAUUGUUACCUUCUUUUCUAGUGUACUGUUGAAAUACACAGUAUGGUUAGAAUGAAGAGACCAAAACAUCACCUUUUGUUUGAUGAUAAAUUUAUUUCACCUAAAACACUAGAUGUUGUUCUGAACAGUUAAUUGGUUAUGUCAUCAGCUGUCAGAUUAGUACAUUUUAUGGAGCUUUUUUCUUGAUUAAAAUUUUCUUCUGAAGAUAAUUAAAACCUCAUUCACCAGUCUUUGUUGUAAUGAAUUACCCAACAGUCAAACUUACAAAAACAUCUCUAAACAUUUCUGGUCUGAUUGGCUGUAUUUCUUAAAUGCCACAGUAACGAAACCUAGAAUGUGCUGAAUCCAAAUUUUGUGAUUUAUUACUAAAAAAUUUAAAUUACAGGAGAACUAUGAAAAAAUUCCUUUUCCCUCUUCUCUUUCAUAUUCGGAACCUAUACAUGUCAUUUGAAAUGGAAAAUUAUGGUAUUAUCAACAUCUUAAUUUUUGCUUGAUUUUGAAAGCAUGUUUACAAAAGUAUUAAAAUUUAGACCAUUUUAUAAAUGGAAUUAACUUAUGUAUUUGUUUUCAUAAUGUUGCAUAUUCCUUCUUUGAGUUUUAUACAUGCCACACCCUUUGGUGAAAUAGAGCCUAACAUGAUGAGAUCAUCGCAUGAGCUGAUUUUUCAACGGAUGAUAGUAAAUAUGGACAUUGUUUAAUUCAUAUAUUUCAUUGAUAAGAUAAUUCAUGCAUUCCAUAUAGUAGCUCAUUUUGUUUUGCCCUAAGAAACACCUGAGAUGUGUGUUUUUAUUAUUUCUAAUUUACUGGUAUUGAAACUAAGGCUUAAACAUAUUCAGUGAAUUUCCCAAAAUCGCACUGAAUGAAAGUAUGAAAGAUUCAAACCACAGCCAGUACGGUAUCAAAGUAAGUUUAUUAACUGUAAACCUAGAUACCCGGCCCCUCCCCUCUGCUGUGUUCAAGGCAAAGGGUGGAUACAAUUUAAAAGUUAUUCCCUCCUUUCCCGCCCCCAAGAAAUGUUACCAACAUUUUAUGUCCAUUGUUGCCAGGGGCAAAGAAACUGAAGAUUUUGUGUUUACUUCUAGUUCUCUAGACUAAACUUUAGACUACCUGCUCUAGUUAAGGCUAUUUGACACUAUGUGAGACUCUUCUGCCCUGCUCUUUUCUCCUAUUUCUCCCUAACAAGCAGGUUUUAUUCUUCUAGCAAUAGCAGUUCAGUAUGAUUGAACUUGAAGUUGAACUUCUCUUCAAUUUGGGACUCACUGACAAACUACUUUGCUGAAGCACUUAAUGUUUCCCAUCUAUCCAAGGACUGUUUUGCACCACCUUUCAAAAUCACUUUUGAAUGAGUUUCUUAAUGUAGGGAAUAAGCAUGUUUUGUUGUUGUUUGUUCAUUUUUUAAUGUUUUUGUUUUUUUUUUUUUAAGACCCUAUGAGAACACUUGUUCAGUUCUUAGGUAAAGGAGGACAUUAGGAAAACAAGUUGGCAAUUAUUUGUUUUUUCUGUGCAUAGAAAUGGAGCUGUAUUUUGAGCUUGGGAGAGCCAAAAGGAAAACAUUACAGAUGCUGCUGAUCAUCACAAAACCUAAAUACUUAAAAUGUAAACUGGCAUUAUAUAAACUUCAAAAAAUGCAGCACUGUCAGCAAACUAGUAAGACCACUGCAGACAAAAUUUCUUCAUCUUUUUUUAACAGCUUCACUGGAACGUAAUUCUCAUAACAUACCAUUUAUCCAUGGUGAGUAAAAAUGUGGUUUUUAGUAUAUUCUGAGAGUUGUGCAACCAUCACUAAAAUCAAUUCAAGAGCAUCGUUAUCACCAUAAUGAGAAACUCUCAUACCCAUGAGCAGUCAUUUCCUGUACAGUGAAGAAUUAACUUUACCCAAGAAGCAGUCUGACCUUUUUCCCUCAGUUCCUAGGAGGUGAUCGGUAGUUUAUCCCCAUAAUGUCCAACCUGUUAGGAGUGUCUUUGUUUGCCUGGAUUUGAGCACUAGACAGUCUGUCACUGUGAUUUUUGAUGGGGGAUUUAGGAUAUGCCAUAUCAGUUCCAACCACCAGGGGAACUAAAGGCUAAAAGUAUUAGCGUGAACCUUCAGGAGGCUCCAGAGGAAGGCCUAUGUGUGUUUUCCUUGUUCAGAAUAUUCUUUGAGUCUUGUCACAAACCUUAGCCAGGAGGAAAUAACGUUGUCCAAUAAUCCAACGUGAGGAUAAUGAAAAGCUUCACGUGUGGACUAAUGCCAGACCUCUUCAUAUGCAUCUCUUCUUUUGGUUGUUCCUAAUUUGUAUCCCUUCAGUAUAAUACAAAUAUAACCUUAAGUGUGGUGUUUCCAGAGUUCCGUGAUUCAUUUUAGCCAAAUCAAACCAGGGGCUGGUGGUGGGAUAUUCCAGAUUUGUAGCCAGCUCUUCUGAAGUGAGAAGAGUCUUAAGAACCUCUAAACUGGCAGCUGGUUUCUCAAGUAAGGGCAUUUUUGUAGGAACUAUUCCCUCCAGCUGUGAAGUUUAUCUAACUUGUACUUAACAUUUCCCCUGAAGUCUUUUUCUUCCCUCAGCCCUUGAAAACCACUAAUCUACUUUCUGCCUUUAUAGGUUUUCUCCUUCCUGACAUUUUAUACAACAGGUGAUUUUUGUGAUUGGCUUUUCUUAAUUCACUUAUUUUUCACUGUUCAUCCAUCGUUGAAAGCAUGUAUCAGUUCUUCACCUCUUUUCAUGGCUGAAUGAUAUUUCAUGUUAUGGAUAUAUUACUUUUUGCUUAUCCAUUCAUUAGUUUAUGGAUAUUUAUCCAUAUUAGUUUAUGGAUAUUUAUGGGUAAUCUUAAGAGGCUGUCAUGACUAAUACUGCUAUAAACAUUCCUCUGUAAGUUUUUGUUUGAAGCACCUGCUUUCACAUCUUUUGGGUAUACACCUAGGGGCAGAAUUUCUAGGUCACAAAAGAAUCCUAUGUUUACCUUAUAUGAGGGACUGUGGACCACUUUUUUGAGGUAGUUGCACCAUUCUGCAGUUCCACAAGCAAAGUAUGAUGGUUCCAGCUCCUCCACAUUCUUGACAAUGUUUAUUAAUUUCCAUCAUUUUAGUUAUAGACAUGUUGGUGGGUAUGAAAUAGUAUAUUUCAUUUCAAUUUGCAUUUUCAUAAUGACUGAUGAUAUUUAUAUUUUUACUUUAUUCAUGGUAUCUUUUGAAGCAUCGAAGUUCUUAAUUAUGAUGAAGUGCACAUUUUUUAUCACUUGUAGUUUUUCAUAAUAUAGAAGAAGGCUCCACCUAAGAUUACAAAAAGUCCUUCAUUAUGCUAAAUUUUAUAGUUUUAGCUUUUAUCUUUAUGUCUAUGAUCCAUUUUGAAUUAUGUUUGUAUGUAUGGUAUGAGGACUUCAUUUUUUGCAGGUAAGAGUUAGUUGUCUCAGCAUUAUUUUUUGAUAAAGACUAUUCCCUCCUCAUAAGACUAUCUUGGAGUCAUUGUUGGAAAUCAAAUUUACUAUAAAUAUGAAGGCUUAUUUCCUAACUCUAUUUUCUGUUGAUCUGUAUAUUGUUAUUCCAGCACCAUGCUGUCUUGAUUACUCUAGCUUUGCAGUAAGUUGUGAACUAGGAAUAUGUGAACCCAAGUUUGUUCUCUUUUGAAAGAGUGUUUGGCUAUUUUGGGUAAAGCCUCUGAAUCUUAGCAGUGAUAAAGGACAUACUCUAAAUGUAUGAAUGGGUGAAAGAUGCAAAAGACAUCUUGAUCUACCAUAUACAUACAGCUUGCCUCACUCCUUUCCCACACAUACCAUUUCAGCUAGAUUGUAAGUUAUAGGAAGAAAGGGAUGACUGGAUAUGAUUUAUUUUCAGAUCUCCAUAUUUUAUCUACUUCUUUUUAUUAUAUUGAUUUGUUUACCUUUGUUUAAAGGGAGGGAGUGUUAGAACCUAGUGGGAGACU